UCCACCCUCAGGUUUCUCCUUAGCCACUGG
rnacentral:piRNA from 1 species